UACACAGAAUAUGAGACCAGUUUCCAAGGGC
rnacentral:piRNA from 1 species